GUGGGGAAUAUUGGACAAUGGGCGAAAGCCUGAUCCAGCCAUGCCGCGUGUGUGAAGAAGGUCUUCGGAUUGUAAAGCACUUUAAGUUGGGAGGAAGGGUAGUAACCUAAUACGUUGCUACUUUGACGUUACCGACAGAAUAAGCACCGGCUAACUUCGUGCCAGCAGCCGCGGUAAUACGAAGGGUGCAAGCGUUAAUCGGAAUUACUGGGCGUAAAGCGCGCGUAGGUGGUUCAGUAAGUUGGAAGUGAAAUCCCCGGGCUCAACCUGGGAACUGCGUUCAAAACUGCUGAGCUAGAGUACGGUAGAGGGUGGUGGAAUUUCCUGUGUAGCGGUGAAAUGCGUAGAUAUAGGAAGGAACACCAGUGGCGAAGGCGACCACCUGGACUGAUACUGACACUGAGGUGCGAAAGCGUGGGGAGCAAACAGGAUUAGAAACCCCGGUAGUCC
rnacentral:rRNA from 1 species